UACGUAGGGAGCAAGCGUUGUCCGGAAUCAUUGGGCGUAAAGCGCGCGUAGGUGGCUUCGUAAGUCCGUUGUGAAAGUCAAAGGCUCAACCUUUGAAUGCCGAUGGAUACUGCGGAGCUAGAGUACGGAAGAGGCGAGUGGAAUUCCUGGUGUAGCGGUGGAAUGCGCAGAUAUCAGGAGGAACACCAAUAGCGAAGGCAGCUCGCUGGGACGUUACUGACACUAAGGCGCGAAAGCUAGGGGAGCAAACAGG
rnacentral:rRNA from 1 species